rnacentral:rRNA from 1 species
CCUACGGGAGGCAGCAGUGAGGAAUAUUGGUCAAUGGCCGGAAGGCUGAACCAGCCAAGCCGCGUGAAGGAUGAAGGUGCCAAGCAUUGUAAACUUCUUUUGUCCAGGGACAAAAUCCGGCACGAGUGCCUGACCGAGUGUACUUUAAGAAAAAGCAUCGGCUAACUCCGUGCCAGCAGCCGCGGUAAUACGGAGGAUCCGAGCGUUAUCCGGAUUUAUUGGGUUUAAAGGGUGCGUAGGCGGACUGUUAAGUCAGCGGUAAAAGGCCCGGGCUCAACCCGGGCCGAGCCGUUGAAACUGGCUGGCUUGAGAUGGCGGGAGGUAGGCGGAAUGCGCAGUGUAGCGGUGAAAUGCUUAGAUAUGGCGCAGAACCCCGAUUGCGAAGGCAGCAUACCGGCGGCGAUCUGACGCUGAGGCACGAAAGCGUGGGUAUCGAACAGGAUUAGAUACCCCUGUAGUC